UGUCACAGGGGAGGCAAUCUUAGACUUCCACCGCAUUCUUUUUUUUUUUUUAAGUUGUCAAAAUCUCUUGAAUAUCGUUUUUCGUCUGUAUAAAUAAUCAGGACCCAGUAACGCUGUUAGGCCCCAGGAAGGUGAAGGAGUAAUUAACUCUUGAGCGCUUGCAGAAGUUGGGCUGCGCAGAAGCAAAGCAUGUGGUUUGAUGAUCUCAGAGGCUCAGUAUCCUUGUCCUGGGUUGGAGAUAGCACUGGGGUCAUUCUAGUCUUGACUACCUUCCAUGUACCACUGGUAAUUAUGACUUUUGGACAGUCCAAGCUAUAUCGAAGUGAGGAUUAUGGGAAGAACUUUAAGGAUAUUACAAAUCUCAUCAAUAACACCUUUAUUCGGACUGAAUUUGGCAUGGCUAUUGGUCCUGAGAACUCUGGAAAGGUGGUAUUAACAGCAGAGGUGUCUGGAGGAAGUCGUGGAGGAAGAAUCUUCAGAUCAUCAGAUUUUGCAAAGAAUUUUGUGCAAACAGAUCUCCCUUUUCAUCCUCUCACUCAGAUGAUGUAUAGCCCUCAGAAUUCUGAUUAUCUUUUAGCUCUCAGCACUGAAAAUGGCCUGUGGGUGUCCAAGAAUUUUGGGGGAAAAUGGGAAGAAAUCCACAAAGCAGUAUGUUUGGCCAAAUGGGGAUCAGACAACACCAUCUUCUUUACAACCUAUGCAAAUGGCUCCUGCAAAGCUGACCUUGGGGCUCUGGAAUUAUGGAGAACUUCAGACUUGGGAAAAAGCUUCAAAACUAUUGGUGUGAAAAUCUACUCAUUUGGUCUUGGGGGACGUUUCCUUUUUGCCUCUGUGAUGGCUGAUAAGAGACUUAAGAAACAAUGAAAUUUCAUGGGCCAUAGAAGAUGCUAGUGAAGCCUUUGCUGGACUCACAAGUCUCACUAAACUAAUCUUACAAGGAAACCAGAUUAAGUCAAUUACAAAGAAAGCAUUCAUUGGUCUUGAAUCCCUUGAGCAUCUAGAUUUGAACAAUAAUGCUAUAAUGUCUAUCCAAGAAAAUGCUUUUUCUCAGACUCAUUUAAAAGAACUUUACGGUGCUGUGACUCCGAUAGGAUCAGAUUCAUCAUUGGACCCCCAGACCUCUCACCCAGGACCCCAAGUGUGCACCUUUGAAGCCAUUGUCUUCACUCCUGACUGAUAGAUCGGGGAUCCAAUGGUGAGUCAGACUAACGAACCAUUGCUCCGGACAAACAUCUGUUGAAGCUGGAUUCUGAACACAAGCAGUUUGCUCUGUGACUGCCAUUUGAAGUGGCUACUUCAACGGUUGGUUGAUAAUAACUUUCAACAUUCUGU